UACAGAGGUCCCAAGCGUUGUUCGGAAUUACUGGGCGUAAAGCGCACGUAGGCGGCUUUUUAAGUCAGGGGUGAAAUCCCGGGGCUCAACCCCGGAACUGCCCUUGAAACUGGAGAGCUAGAAUCUUGGAGAGGCGAGUGGAAUUCCGAGUGUAGAGGUGAAAUUCGUAGAUAUUCGGAAGAACACCAGUGGCGAAGGCGACUCGCUGGACAAGUAUUGACGCUGAGGUGCGAAAGCGUGGGGAGCAAACAGG
rnacentral:rRNA from 1 species